rnacentral:misc_RNA from 1 species
AACGCACGAGACCUGCGGACCUGCGGAAGGAUCAUUAACGAGCGCGGGUCCCCCGGGGCCCAAACUCCCAACCCUCUGCGAACUCAUGAAUGUUGCUUUGGCGGGCCGUUCCUAGUACGGACCUUGGGGGUCUCCCCCGCGAGACGCCCGCCAGUGGCCCAUCCACAAACUCUUUAUCUAACCCUCAACGUCUGAGCCGGUUUGGAACUUUUAAAAACUUUUAACAAUGGAUCUCUAGAU